UGGGGAAUAUUGGACAAUGGGCGAAAGCCUGAUCCAGCCAUGCCGCGUGCAGGAUGAAGGCCUUCGGGUUGUAAACUGCUUUUGUACGGAACGAAAAGACUCCUUCUAAUAAAGGGGGUCCAUGACGGUACCGUAAGAAUAAGCACCGGCUAACUACGUGCCAGCAGCCGCGGUAAUACGUAGGGUGCGAGCGUUAAUCGGAAUUACUGGGCGUAAAGCGUGCGCAGGCGGUUAUAUAAGACAGUUGUGAAAUCCCCGGGCUCAACCUGGGAACUGCAUCUGUGACUGUAUAGCUAGAGUACGGUAGAGGGGGAUGGAAUUCCGCGUGUAGCAGUGAAAUGCGUAGAUAUGCGGAGGAACACCGAUGGCGAAGGCAAUCCCCUGGACCUGUACUGACGCUCAUGCACGAAAGCGUGGGGAGCAAACA
rnacentral:rRNA from 1 species